rnacentral:rRNA from 1 species
CUAAGUGGGAAACGAAGUGGGAAGGCUAAAACAGUCAGGAGGUUGGCUUAGAAGCAGCCACCCUUUAAAGAAAGCGUAAUAGCUCACUGAUCGAGUCGUCCUGCGCGGAAGAUGUAACGGGGCUAAGCUAUAUACCGAAGCUGCGGAUGCGUGCUUGCACGCAUGGUAGGAGAGCGUUCCGUAAGCCUGCGAAGGUGCGUUGAAAAGCGUGCUGGAGGUAUCGGAAGUGCGAAUGCUGACAUGAGUAGCGAUAAAGGGGGUGAAAGGCCCCCUCGCCGUAAGCCCAAGGUUUCCUACGCAACGUUCAUCGGCGUAGGGUGAGUCGGCCCCUAAGGCGAGGCAGAAAUGCGUAGCUGAUGGGAAGCAGGUCAAUAUUCCUGCACCAUUGUUAGAUGCGAUGGGGGGACGGAUCGCGGAAGGUUGUCCGGGUGUUGGAAGUCCCGGUCGCUGCAUUGGAGAAGGCACUUAGGCAAAUCCGGGUGCGCAAUUCAAGGGUGUGGCGCGAGCUUCUUCGGAAGCGAAGCAAUUGGAAGUGGUUCCAAGAAAAGCCUCUAAGCUUCAGUCUAACGAUGACCGUACCGCAAACCGACACAGGUGGGCGAGAUGAGUAUUCUAAGGCGCUUGAGAGAACUCGGGAGAAGGAACUCGGCAAAUUGGUACCGUAACUUCGGGAUAAGGUACGCCCUUGUAGCUUGACUGGCCUGCGCCAGGAGGGUGAAGGGGUUGCAAUAAACUGGUGGCUGCGACUGUUUAAUAAAAACACAGCACUCUGCAAACACGAAAGUGGACGUAUAGGGUGUGACGCCUGCCCGGUGCCGGAAGAUUAAAUGAUGGGGUGCAAGCUCUUGAUUGAAGUCCCGGUAAACGGCGGCCGUAACUAUAACGGUCCUAAGGUAGCGAAAUUCCUUGUCGGGUAAGUUCCGACCUGCACGAAUGGCGUAACGAUGGCCACACUGUCUCCUCCCGAGACUCAGCGAAGUUGAAGUGUUUGUGAUGAUGCAAUCUACCCGCGGCUAGACGGAAAGACCCCAUGAACCUUUACUGUAGCUUUGCAUUGGACUUUGAACCGAUCUGUGUAGGAUAGGUGGGAGGCUAUGAAACCGGAACGCUAGUUUCGGUGGAGCCGUCCUUGAAAUACCACCCUGGUUUGUUUGAGGUUCUAACCUUGGCCCGUGAUCCGGGUCGGGGACAGUGCAUGGUAGGCAGUUUGACUGGGGCGGUCUCCUCCCAAAGCGUAACGGAGGAGUACGAAGGUACGCUAGGUACGGUCGGAAAUCGUGCUGAUAGUGCAAUGGCAUAAGCGUGCUUAACUGCGAGACCGACAAGUCGAGCAGGUGCGAAAGCAGGUCAUAGUGAUCCGGUGGUUCUGUAUGGAAGGGCCAUCGCUCAACGGAUAAAAGGUACUCUGGGGAUAACAGGCUGAUACCGCCCAAGAGUUCAUAUCGACGGCGGUGUUUGGCACCUCGAUGUCGGCUCAUCUCAUCCUGGGGCUGUAGCCGGUCCCAAGGGUAUGGCUGUUCGCCAUUUAAAGAGGUACGUGAGCUGGGUUUAAAACGUCGUGAGACAGUUUGGUCCCUAUCUGCCGUGGGCGUUGGAUAUUUGAAGGGGGCUGCUCCUAGUACGAGAGGACCGGAGUGGACGAACCUCUGGUGUACCGGUUGUCACGCCAGUGGCAUCGCCGGGUAGCUAUGUUCGGAAGAGAUAACCGCUGAAAGCAUCUAAGCGGGAAACUCGCCUUAAGAUGAGAUAUCCCUGGGGACUAGAUCCCCUUGAAGGGUCGUUCGAGACCAGGACGUUGAUAGGUCAGGUGUGUAAGCGCAGUAAUGCGUUCAGCUAACUGAUACUAAUUGCCCGUAAGGCUUGAUCCU